AUGGCCAUGUAAGAAUGAUUGUAGGCUAACACAGAAGGGUAAAGGAAACCUCCAUAAAACCCAGAGAAGAGAUUACAAAACUCCUCUUUGGAAUUUUUCUGGAGUUACAACU
rnacentral:snoRNA from 1 species